GCUGUGGUGAAGAGGAUCGUGGAGCUCAUCGAGGAGCUUCCCGAUGACUCGUCACCCAGCGCCGUCCUCGCCCACUCCCUGGCUGCAGUGGGCAACCUCUGCACCAUGAAACCUGCCCUGGAGCCAGCCCUAGAGACCCACCUCUUGCGAGCUGCCCUUCACUCCGUCUUCACCCUGGGCACGGAGAAGGACACCACCAGCAUCCAGGCUCUGCACAAAGUCAUCCCAGAGGUCCUGGAUGCCAUGCUGGGGAAUCUG